rnacentral:rRNA from 1 species
GACGAACGCUGGCGGCGUGCUUAACACAUGCAAGUCGAACGGGUCUGCCUUGUUUUUUGCGGGGUGGGUCAGUGGCGAACGGGUGAGUAACACGUGAGUAACCUGCCCCUCACUUCUGGAUAACCGCUUGAAAGGGUGGCUAAUACGGGGUGUUCUGGCUGUGCCGCAUGGUGUGGCUGGGAAAGAUUCACUUUUGUGGUGUUUUGGUGGGGGAUGGGCUCGCGGCCUAUCAGCUUGUUGGUGGGGUGAUGGCCUGCCAAGGCUUUGACGGGUAGCCGGCCUGAGAGGGUGGGCGGUCACACUGGGACUGAGAUACGGCCCAGACUCCUGCGGGAGGCAGCAGUGGGGGGUAUUGCACAAUGGGCGGAAGCCUGAUGCAGCGACGUCGCGUGAGGGAUGGAGGCCUUCGGGUUGUGAACCUCUUUCGCCGGUGAAGAAGGUCCUGUUCUUUGUGGUGGGGCUGACGUAGCCGGGU